UUUUCAUUUUCUACAACAAGUAUGGAGGUGGCUAUUGGACUCGAGACACGAAAUCAAGAAAGAAGAUCGCCAGGAACUUAUGACUAUAGUGAAAAGCCUCGUAUAUUCAGCAACGAAGAACGAUUUAUUCACGUCAUGGGGAAAAUUCAAGGCUAAUCCUCUUUCGGAGAAGUAUCCUAACUUUAGAAGCUAUCUAGGCUCACUGAUGGAAAGGAGUGACGAGUGGGCGAUAACGUUCAGGGCAGGUGCGGUGCUACGUGGACAUCACACCAACAACUUCUGUGAGGCAACAAUGUGCAUCAUUAAGGAAGUCGUUCUUAAUAGAUGCAAGGCAUACAACGCAACGCAGCUGAUCAUUUUCAUGGCCGAAAUCUUUGACAGCUACAUGAAGAAGAGGCUGGUGGACGUUGCGCUUGGCAGACGGAGAGUGAAAUCAUUAAGCACGGCUACACUGCCUCUAGAAAUGGUUACUUUCCAAGGUAACGGAAAGUACAGAGUCCAGAGCCAGUCUACUCCAUCCCUUCAGUACGACGUAGAUCUUGUGACUGGAUUUUGUGAGUGUACUGCAGGGGAAAAUGGUUCCUUGUGUAAACAUCAAGCUGCCUGUGCAGACUACAGCAUGACGGUCCUGCCCCAAGUCUUCACUGCCACUACU